rnacentral:rRNA from 1 species
ACAGAUGAGAAGCUUGCUUCUCUGAUGUUAGCGGCGGACGGGUGAGUAACACGUGGGUAACCUACCUAUAAGACUGGGAUAACUCCGGGAAACCGGGGCUAAUACCGGAUAAUAUAUUGAACCGCAUGGUUCAAUGUUGAAAGACGGUUUCGGCUGUCACUUAUAGAUGGACCCGCGCCGUAUUAGCUAGUUGGUAAGGUAACGGCUUACCAAGGCAACGAUACGUAGCCGACCUGAGAGGGUGAUCGGCCACACUGGAACUGAGACACGGUCCAGACUCCUACGGGAGGCAGCAGUAGGGAAUCUUCCGCAAUGGGCGAAAGCCUGACGGAGCAACGCCGCGUGAGUGAUGAAGGUCUUAGGAUCGUAAAACUCUGUUGUUAGGGAAGAACAAAUUUGUUAGUAACUGAACAAGUCUUGACGGUACCUAACCAGAAAGCCACGGCUAACUACGUGCCAGCAGCCGCGGUAAUACGUAGGUGGCAAGCGUUAUCCGGAAUUAUUGGGCGUAAAGCGCGCGUAGGCGGUUUCUUAAGUCUGAUGUGAAAGCCCACGGCUCAACCGUGGAGGGUCAUUGGAAACUGGGGAACUUGAGUGCAGAAGAGGAGAGUGGAAUUCCAUGUGUAGCGGUGAAAUGCGCAGAGAUAUGGAGGAACACCAGUGGCGAAGGCGGCUCUCUGGUCUGUAACUGACGCUGAUGUGCGAAAGCGUGGGGAUCAAACAGGAUUAGAUACCCUGGUAGUCCACGCCGUAAACGAUGAGUGCUAAGUG